GUAGGGAAUAUUGGGCAAUGGUCGGAAGACUGACCCAGCCAUGCCGCGUGCAGGAAGACGGCCCUCUGGGUUGUAAACUGCUUUUAUCUGGGAAGAAAAAGGCCAUGCGUGGCAAAUUGCCGGUACCAGAUGAAUAAGCACCGGCUAACUCCGUGCCAGCAGCCGCGGUAAUACGGAGGGUGCGAGCGUUGUCCGGAUUUAUUGGGUUUAAAGGGUGCGUAGGCGGCUGAUUAAGUCAGCGGUGAAAGACUUCGGCUUAACCGGAGCAGUGCCGUUGAUACUGGUUGGCUUGAGUGUCGGAGGGGUACAUGGAAUUGAUGGUGUAGCGGUGAAAUGCAUAGAUACCAUCAGGAACACCGAUAGCGAAGGCAUUGUACUGGCCGACAACUGACGCUGAUGCACGAAAGUGUGGGGAUCGAACAGGAUUAGAAACCCCGGUAGUCA
rnacentral:rRNA from 1 species